AUACGGAGGAUCCGAGCGUUAUCCGGAUUUAUUGGGUUUAAAGGGAGCGUAGGCGGACGCUUAAGUCAGUUGUGAAAGUUUGCGGCUCAACCGUAAAAUUGCAGUUGAUACUGGGUGUCUUGAGUACAGUAGAGGCAGGCGGAAUUCGUGGUGUAGCGGGGAAAUGCUUAGAUAUCACGAAGAACUCCGAUUGCGAAGGCAGCCUGCUGGACUGUAACUGACGCUGAUGCUCGAAAGUGUGGGUAUCAAACAGGAUUAGAUACCCUGGUAGUCCACACAGUAAACGAUGAAUACUCGCUGUUUGCGAUAUACAGUAAGCGGCCAAGCGAAAGCAUUAAGUAUUCCACCUGGGGAGUACGCCGGCAACGGUGAAACUCAAAUGAAUUGGCGGGG
rnacentral:rRNA from 1 species